rnacentral:piRNA from 1 species
UAAGUGUAUUGGAUUUGUUCG